rnacentral:rRNA from 1 species
GUAAGGAAUAUUGGUCAAUGGAGGCAACUCUGAACCAGCCAUGCCGCGUGCAGGAAGAAGGCCUUCGGGUUGUAAACUGCUUUUGUACGGAACGAAAAGACUCCUUCUAAUAAAGGGGGUCCAUGACGGUACCGUAAGAAUAAGCACCGGAUAACUACGUGCCAGCAGCCGCGGUAAUACGUAGGGUGCAAGCGUUAAUCGGAAUUACUGGGCGUAAAGCGCGCGUAGGUGGUUUUGUAAGUUGGAGGUGAAAUCCCCGGGCUCAACCUGGGAACUGCCUCCAAAACUGCAUGACUAGAGUACGGUAGAGGGUAGUGGAAUUCCCGGUGUAGCGGUGAAAUGCGUAGAGAUCGGGAGGAACAUCCGUGGCGAAGGCGGCCAUCUGGACCAGCACUGACACUGAGGCACGAAAGCGUGGGGAGCAAACAGGAUUAGAUACCCGAGUAGUCC